ensembl:lncRNA
CAGGCAAGCUUGACCACAGAGGGAAGUGUGUCUGGAGGUGGGCUGUCAUAUAACUCCCUAUCUUGUCUCUUAAACCAGUUCCUUCUGCGUUCUCUCUCUUUGCUGAUACUGUUUGCAACCUCCAAGAGCCAGCUAGACCAGAGACUUUGGAAUCCUCUCCCAUCCCCCUUCCUCAUCCAUUCACACAUGGUACACAGUACUUUAAAAGGAAGACAAAUUUAUAAGACCUUUGACUGACAACCUACAAAAGUAAAAGCUGAGUAAGGAUACCAACACUUAAAUCCAAGGAUAAUGGAAAAUAAUAUCUGACUGGAAUAAAUGGAUCACAUACAGAAGAUAUGCUACUGUGCUACUUAUGUGAACUGAAAUACGGAUAAGGAAGCAUAUCUGGUUCUAAUUUCUGAACUCAACACCAGAUGUUUUCAAGGCAGCACAGUGGUAAAGAAUCUGCCUCCAGUAUAGGAGAUGCAGAAGAUGUGGGUUCUACCCCUGGGUCGGGAAGAUCUCCUGGAGUAGGAAAUGGCAACGCGCUCUGGUAUUCUUUGCCUGGAAAAUUCCAUAGAGGAGCCUGGUGGGACUACAGUCCUUGGGGUCCAAAGAAUCGGACACAACUGAACCUGCACACACUUUGCUCUACAAAUUUGUGCCGUGGGGUCACGUGAGUCAUGUAUUAACUGCUGAGUAUAGGAAAGCUCUAGCCACUUAUGAAAUUAAAACAUAUUUACCUUUUAAACAAUCAUUUCCAAGUUGUUGCCCAAAGGUCAUUUACAGGCUCCUUGUGGUUGGAAAGAAACGUAAUUUUUGACAACUUCAGGUAAGCUAUUAACCAAAUAGGAUAACCAAAUGUUGAAAUGACUAUAGUUAUUAAUACCUGGGCUUCCCUAGUGGCUCAGACAGUAAAGAAUCUGCCCGCAACACAGGAGAUAGAGGUUCAAUCUCUGGGUCGGAAAGAUCCCCCAAGAAGGAAAUGGCAACCCACUCCAGUGUUCUUGCCCGGCAAAUCCCAUGGACAGAGGAGCCUGGUGGGCUACAGUCCAUGGGUCCACAAAGUGAGACACAACUAAGCAACUAACAGUUUCACUUUCACCUGUAGUUACUUAUAUGUGUUGCUUUUUCCUUAAAAUAAGUACUAUGGAUAUGUAUAUUUAUCUGUUUUUAUUAAUAUCGCAUUUAGUGAGUUUUCCCUUCUUUGAAUAUACUAACGGGAGAUUAGAAUUGCGAAUGGGGUUGUGUCUAAACUAAGAGCAUCUACUUACAUUAAUUCAGCAAAUAAGUAUUGAGGGCACUCUGGAAAUGGAGAUCUAAGAUGCAUAUGUAUAAAGCCGAAUCUGUAAAUAAAGAGAAAUAAGCAUGAGAAAACUGCAGUCAAG